rnacentral:rRNA from 1 species
UACAUGGGGUGCAAACGUUGCUCGGAAUCAUUGGGCGUAAAGCGCACGUAGGCGGUUCGUUAUGUCGGAUGUGAAAGCCCUCGGCUUAACCGGGGAAGUGCAUCCGAAACUGGCGAGCUUGAGUACCAAAGAGGGUCGCGGAAUUCCCGGUGUAGAGGUGAAAUGCGUAGAGAUCAGGAAGAACAUCGGUGGCGAAGGCGCUCUGCUGGACCAUAACUGACACUCAGGGACGAAAGCUAGGGGAGCGAAUGGG